rnacentral:rRNA from 1 species
GACGAACGCUGGCGGCGCGCUUAACACAUGCAAGUCGAGCGAGAACCAGGGCUUCGGCCCUGGGGACAGCGGCGAACGGGUGAGUAACACGUGGGUAAUCUGCCCUCGGCACCGGAAUAGCCCGGGGAAACCCGGAUUAAUGCCGGAUGGCCCGUCGACCCUUCGGGGCUGACGGAAAAGGUAGCUUAGGCCUCCGGCCGAGGACGAGCCCGCGGCGGAUUAGCUUGUUGGUGGGGUAAUGGCCCACCAAGGCUCCGACCCGAGCUGGUCUGAGAGGACGAUCAGCCACACUGGGACUGAGACACGGCCCAGACUCCUACGGGAGGCAGCAGUGGGGAAUAUUGGACAAUGGGCGCAAGCCUGAUCCAGCAAUGCCGCGUGAGUGAAGAAGGUCUUCGGAUUGUAAAGCUCUUUCGACGGGGACGAUGAUGACGGUACCCGUAGAAGAAGCCCCGGCUAACUUCGUGCCAGCAGCCGCCGCAGU